rnacentral:rRNA from 1 species
UCGGGAGUCAGACUGCGAGUGAUAAGAUCCGUAGUCGAAAGGGAAACAGCCCAGACCACCAGUUAAGGUCCCCAAAUAUAUGUUAAGUGGAAAAGGAUGUGGGGUUGCUUAGACAACCAGGAUGUUGGCUUAGAAGCAGCCACCAUUGAAAGAGUGCGUAAUAGCUCACUGGUCGAGUGACCCCGCGCCGAAAAUGUACCGGGGCUAAACAUAUUACCGAAACUGUGGAUGAACCUCUUUAGAGGUUCGUGGUAGGAGAGCGUUCUAAGGGCGGUGAAGUCAGACCGGAAGGACUGGUGGAGCGC